AACAAAACUAAAAAAGAACCCAAUUCUCUCGACCCUGGUUCUCUCUCUCUCGACCCUCGCUAUCGCUCUCACCAUCGCUCCCAAACAAUUUAGGGCUUCCUAAUUCUAUACUCUUCUUGCUGUGAAUUUCAUACAGUGAGUGCGGGUUCAAAACCAGGAGCUGUUGAGAGCAGGUCAAUCCAAAGCUGCAUCUACUGGAGAAGCGCCGUGCAGCAAUGGAGGGUACGUCAAGGGUGGUGUUACAUACGUGAUUAUGGAUAACUUGGUAGUGAAGCCUAUGUCUACCAUAUCAAUUGUAGAUGUGCUUAAAGAGUUGAAUGUUAUGGAGGUUGGUGCCCUUGAACAGAAGUUGGUUAGUCUUGACACGGAAGAGGGGCUAAAGUUGGUGAAGGCAUCUUUGGAGUCAAAUACAGUUCUCAGCAUGUAUUCCUUGUGCAGUGGUUCAGGGAAGGGCACACAAGGAGCGAUCUAGGUUUGAUUGUCAAGUAUGCAUGUCUACAUAUACAUUUAGAUUCCGGCAC